CGCAGUCUGCGGGCUGCCGGCUUCUCGGUGCGGUUCGCGUUCCCUAAUCUGGGCGUUCGGGCAGCCGGUCAGUCUUCUCUCUUUCGGCGGCGUCCCGCAGCCUCGAGUCAAGACUGAGAUUCCGGAGCUGCGGGGCAGGAGCCUGCUUCUCCCCUUCCUCCUGCUCGGGCCGAGGCUGCGUCGCGGCGGGCCAGGCCCCAGGGCGACUCCCAUGGCGGGGCCGCGGGUGGAGGUGGACGGCGGCAUCAUGGAAGGGGGCGGGCAGAUCCUGAGGGUGUCGACGGCCUUGAGCUGCCUGCUGGGCCUCCCCUUGCGGGUGCAGAAGAUUCGAGCCGGCCGCAGCACGCCCGGCCUGAGGCCUCAGCAUUUAUCUGGACUGGAAAUGGUUCGAGAUUUGUGUGAUGGGCAACUAGAGGGGGCAGAAAUCGGCUCAACAGAAAUAAUGUUUACACCAGAGAAGAUCAAAGGCGGAACCCACACCGCAGAUACCAAGACAGCAGGGAGUGUGUGCCUCUUGAUGCAGGUGUCAAUGCCCUGUGUUCUUUUUGCUGCUUCUCCAUCAGAACUUCGUUUGAAAGGUGGAACUAAUGCUGAAAUGGCACCACAGAUUGACUACACGGCCAUGGUUUUCAAGCCAAUUGUUGAAAAAUUUGGUUUCACAUUUAACUGUGACAUUAAAAUGAGGGGCUACUACCCAAAAGGGGGUGGUGAAGUGAUUGUCCGAAUGUCGCCAGUUAAACAGUUGAACCCAAUAAAUUUAACUGACCGUGGCUCUGUGACUAAGAUAUAUGGAAGAGCUUUUGUUGCUGGUGUUUUGCCAUUUAAAGUAGCAAAAGAUAUGGCGGCGGCAGCUGUAAGAUGCAUCAGAAAGGAGAUUAGGGAUCUGUAUGUUAACAUCCAGCCUGUUCAGGAACCUAAAGACCAAGCUUUUGGCAAUGGAAGUGGAAUAAUCAUUAUUGCUGAGACAUCCACUGGCUGUUUGUUUGCUGGAUCAUCACUUGGUAAACGAGGUGUUAAUGCAGACAAGGUUGGAAUUGAAGCUGCUGAAGUGCUAUUAGCAAAUCUUAGACAUGGUGGUGCUGUGGAUGAGUAUCUGCAAGACCAGCUGAUCAUUUUCAUGGCAUUAGCCAGUGGAAUUUCCAGAAUAAAAACAGGACCAGUUACACUCCAUACCCAAACAGCUAUACAUUUUGCUGAACAACUGGCAAAGGCUAAAUUUACUGUGAAGAAAUCAGAAGAUGAAGAAGAUGCCUCUAAAGACACUUACAUUAUUGAGUGCCAAGGAAUUGGGAUGACAAAUCCAAAUCUAUAGGUGGGCACUUGAUAAUUCUUGAUUUUGAAUCUCUUGACUAUGUUGUGAAAGCUAAACAGUGAGAAUUGCAAUAUUUCAACACUAAUAGAUUUGGCCAAAUCAGCCCCAGGCCUUCAGACUCAGACUGGACUCUACAGCAUUGGCUCUCAGGCCUUUCAACAACAUUUCAGGCUUUCCUGGGUCCCCAGUUUGCAAAUGUGGGACUUCUCAGCCAGCCUCCAUGAUCACUUGAGCCAAUACUUUGUAAGUCUCUCUCUCUGUGUGUGUAGUGUCUUUCUAUGUAUCUUUAUCCUGUUGGUUCUGUUUCUAAAAUGCAAGUGGUUUUAUCAGAACCUACAGCUUUAAAGGAAGCACUCUCUGGGACUGAUUGGUCAUAUCUCAAGAAGGAGUGCUUUUGAGCUGGUGAUUAGAAAUCAGGAGUGUUAUAGUUGCUACUCAGACUCUUAUAGAGGGGGAUGCAACCUGACAGGUGAUUGGAUGGUUCAAGUGGCAUGGCCCUGCAGGUGAGGGGCCCAGUGGAAGUAAUAUUCCAGUUGCCAAGGGGCAUAGAAGGGUAUGAGGCAGAGCCAGCUGAAAAAAGCUUGGAACCAUAGCUAGUGGACCAAUCCUGAUAGGAGUCUUUUUUUCCUUCCUCUGUCCAAGCUCCACUUUAGGCUUCUGUCCUGCAGAAUCUAACCAGGGGCCAGUUGGCAAGGGAGUUGGAAAUUACAGUUUAUGCACCGAAACAACAUGAACAGAGUUUUGUUUUUAGUUUUUGUCUUUUUUAGGGCCACACCCUCUGGCAUAUAGGAGUUUCCAGGCUCAAGGUCUAGUCAGAGCUGUAGCAGCUGGCCUA